AAUCGCUUUGAGUUGCUUUUGCUUUUCAUUUGGACUGGUUUAGAGUCAAAGUAGCUCUAAUUUAAUGCUAAUUGGUUGUCUAUAAGGACUUCUAAGAAGUUAUAUGUAAUGCUUAUAGAGUUAUGAUGGACAUCGGAGAUUUAGGAUAUUUUAACAACCUCACAUUGAUUUUGUUUCACACAUUAUAGAUGAAAGACAGAUGUCCUGAAGACCCUGAUGACCUAUAUGAAACUUCAUCAGUCAGUGCUGAUGAGUAUGUUCCGCAUACCACCUCUGAAAUUGAAGAUAGCCUGACAAUAAGGACAAAACAGCCUUUUCGUCAUGAAUUCUUGCAUGAUCCUGGCUCAAUAAGUCCUCCAGCCUGUGACAGCACAACAGUGGACCACAUUGACUUGGACGUAAACCGCAUAACACCUGAUGUCACUGGAACAGAGGAACCCUGCUCAAGUCAGGAAACAAUUGACACCGCAGUUGUUUGUGCUCCCCUCAAAAAACAGGGAAAUAGAGUUUACAACAAAAGACAUUAUUGCUUGUAUUGCAGUAAGUCUUAUGCCAAGAUGGCAAGGCAUCUAGAAAGUGCACACAAAAACACAUUGGAAGUAGCCACAGCUCUUAGCUUUCCAACGAGUUCCAUAGAGAGAAGGAAACAGCUAGACUAUAUUUGUAAUAAAGGGAACUAUGCUCACAAUGCUGCUAUUAUGGAGUCGGGAAAGGGUGAACUAGUGCCAUUCAAACGACCACCUAAAGAAGCUAAAGGAAAUGAUUUUAUGCACUGUGCAUAUUGCCAAGGACUGUUUACCAGGAAGGUACUGUGGAGACACAUGCGAAGUUGUCGCCUCAAACCUGCAUCAGUCACCCGAAAACCAGGAAAGAACCGUGUCCAGUCCAUGUGCACAUACACUGGGCCUGUGCCUUCCAAGUAUAUCCAAACAACUGUGGGGAGUAAUAAGUGCCAUGAUUCCUGAUCCAAUCACAGAAAUAAUAAAAGAUGACCAUGUCAUCACAGAUGUUGGGCAGCACCUGUUGAAUAAAAGUGGUAUGUCAGCAAAAAAAUCAACAAUGUGUCAGAGAGAAGAUGCGAGAAUUAGGAAGACUGAUUCAUAAUGACAGGAGAGUAACUACCUUGGGGAAAAAAUGGAGGAUUUUGUGAAUCCUAAGAACCUCUUGGAAAUUGUCAAAGUACUUGUGGCUUCGAUAGGGACACUAACAAAUUCUGGAUUCCAUCACUGGCAAAUAAACUUGGGAAUUCCCUGGUUAAAGUCAGCACACUCUUGAAAGCACACGGUUUGAUAAUGAACAAUGAAGAGCUGGUAAGGAAUACCACUCAGUUCCAAGAAGUCCACAGUGAGAAGUGGAACGAGUUGAUCUCUGCAACAGCCCUGAGGAACAUAGCUGAAGGAAAGUGGAAUGCACCACAACUUAUGCCCUUCACUGAGGAUGUUCAAAAAAAUGCAUCAGUUUCUCAGUCCAAUGCAUGAUGAGUGCAGCAGUGCGCUAUCUGAAAAUUCUUCCACAAAGGCCUGUUCAGACCUUACAACAGACAAAGAGAAGGAGAGGUAGCAGCCAUGCCCUUGUUGGCAUUUUUGUCAAGAGACACAACUGAUCCUCAUGAAGAUGUUGAUUGGGCUCUCUCUGAAGCAUACUUGCCAACCCUCCUGUUUUUAGCGGGAGAAUCCCGGUAUUCAGCGCCUUCCUUUGUCUAUCAUUUCUUUCCCAUCCUUUUGUUUAGUUUGAACUCAAUUAUAAGCUUAACAUGGUAUGUCUCCCACAGAAAGUGUUGUGGAAGAUCUUACCAGAGAGGACAAAAACUGUUAAUUUCUUGAUAAUGAAGAGGGGGCCUUUCCAACCACUGAGAAGGAAGAAAUCCCACCCGCCAAGAGACUGAAACGACUUUCAAAAGAAGAGGAGGUAUCCUCAGGAGAUGGUGCAGUGACACAUUCUUCCAAAGGUAAAGCUGCCCAGAAAAGGCGACCCUGGACACAGAAAGAGGUGAAGGUUGUCGAGAAGCACCGAACGGGAAGCUCUCCAAAACCGGGAAUGGCAAGCAUUGAAGUUCUAUGUGUACAACCGCAUUACGGCCUACAAAAGGAGAUUGCAGGUAAAAUAGUAGAUUAAGAGAUAAUCAGCAAGACUGGUUAAGUAGAACAGUUUUUUAUCUUCUUUAUGUUCAAUGUUGUUAAAAAUAAAAAGUAAAAAUAAAAGUUGA